rnacentral:rRNA from 1 species
AUGAACGCUGGCGGCGUGCCUCAUCCAUGCAAGUCGAGCGAACAGACGAGGAGCUUGCUCCUCUGACGUUAGCGGCGGACGGGUGAGUAACACGUGGAUAACCUUCCUAUAAGACUGGGAUAACUUCGGGAAACCGGAGCUAAUACCGGAUAAUAUAUUGAACCGCAUGGUUCAAUAGUGAAAGACGGUUUUGCUGUCACUUAUAGAUGGAUCCGCGCCGCAUUAGCUAGUUGGUAAGGUAACGGCUUACCAAGGCGACGAUGCGUAGCCGACCUGAGAGGGUGAUCGGCCACACUGGAACUGAGACACGGUCCAGACUCCUACGGGAGGCAGCAGUAGGGAAUCUUCCGCAAUGGGCGAAAGCCUGACGGAGCAACGCCGCGUGAGUGAUGAAGGUCUUCGGAUCGUAAAACUCUGUUAUUAGGGAAGAACAAAUGUGUAAGUAACUAUGCACGUCUUGACGGUACCUAAGCAGAAAGCCACGGCUACUACGUG